UCCCUAAAUGUAGAACCCACUUUCCUCUGCAAAACCUCAAAACACUAUUGAAACUUAUAAACAUGCGCACGAUUGAAAAGGAACUUUUCCAAACUGGCGAUGCCUGACUUGUAUUUCUCGGACUCAUAUGUGGUUCCUAAUUCUAAUCUUCCUACUGCUAUCAACAUACGAUUUUUGCAAAAUAUGGCUAUUCACGGUGAUUUAAUCAAGCAAGUUCAAAAUUCGGAUUGUUCGUUUGUGGGAAAUACAAGAUCGUUACAAUUCCGACACUACUUUCUCGAUUGAAUUGGUUCUACAAGAUGAAAAGAUACAUGCUUCUAUUGGCAAGUUAGUGCUGCAUCUUUUCAGAACACAAAUUAAUUAGCUUGGAUUAUAUCUUAUGGCGAACUUUGUCCUUUGCCAAAAUAAGGAGAGGUUCAACACCACAAAAUAUAACUUGAGGCUAACCUUUUCUCCACGGACAACAAUGGCUGAAAAAACUGAUUCACUUUUCACAAUGAAUGUCUUUGAUCUGCGACCAUAUGAUCAAUUGAUAAAUAAGGUUGAUGUGAACGAGACUGAAUUAUUUGGUAAAAAUAACUUUCAUCGUAAACUUCUAAUUAUUAUAUUUUCUGUUAUUUAAUUAAUAUCUUCUUUUAAUUAAUUUUCAUUCAAGCUUUAUUCCUCUUCACUUGGUAUUAUCGCUAUAUCUAUGAUUGAAUUAAUUGAGGAAGUUAGUGUACCUUCUAUAUUGCUGCAAUAUUACUGCCGUUGAAAGUUGGAUUCUCUAUGGUUGGACUGUUUAACAGAAAAUGUGUUAUGAAGAUUUUAUUGUUGUUCCUUUGUAUCCUUUUUUAUAGGCUAUGAUAGAAAACUCUUUCGAAUGGUGAAAUUUAUAUGAUUGGUGAAUACAUCUCCAUUUACUUUGAUUCUAAUUCAGAGGACGUAAAAAAAUAUAAAAAUUUCACCAAGCCUCGAUGAACCUUUUUCUAUCACUGCUUCUUAGUUAUAAUUUAUCCUCUAUGAAGCAUAUUUGUCAGUUUGAGAUAAACAAUUUGAGGAAUACGUUUCAGGAACUUUAUUCAUCAUUAUGUGUUUCUUAGAUGUACAAUAUAAUUUUUCUGAUAUUCAAUUUGGUGGUUUAUUCACCAUUUUGCACUAAAGUUUCCAAUGCAAAAGAAGGGUCAUAGCAGAUCAGUUGAGCAUGAGAAUCAAUCCCUAUGAGGUGUUCUAAGAUGUAGAAUUAAAGCCACUAGAGAAGACCCUCGAGGCCCCGCAGUUGAGCUAGCUUGCUUACUUGAUAUAAAUUAAAAAAAUUUUGUUCAUGGCUAUUGAUGAAAAUCAAUCUUCAAUGUUCUUAGGAGUUUUUCCUUCUUCUUCUUUAAAUCAAAUAUCUCGAAGAGACCAUGGGAGUUUUUCUUUCAAUUAGGCAAACCACACAAAAAAAUGAGUGGAUUUCUUAUGUUAUUUUUCAGAAGACAUCGUAGCACUUUUAGUUUUAUGCAAAUCAAGAAUAGUUGACGGUUCUCUUUAUACUGAUUAUCACUGGAAUUAGACUUUGUUUAAGUUUGCCAA